CAAGAAAUGUCUCAUGAAGCCUUUGGAGCCAGACUACAUGAGAUACCUGCUCAUUGGUCUUCUUUAUGGCUUCGCUCUGUUUAUUGUGAUUGCUGGUGGCUACGUCAAACAUUUACAGAGGUUUGUGUGUGCCAGGUACCAUCCUGAAAGAGAGAAAAAGAGAAUCCAGUACCUCCACAGGCAUAUUCUCACUCAGUGGGGG